GACGAACGCUGGCGGCGUGCUUAACACAUGCAAGUCGAACGGAAAGGCCCUGCUUUUGUGGGGUGCUCGAGUGGCGAACGGGUGAGUAGCACGUGAGUAACCUGCCCUUGACUUUGGGAUAACUUCAGGAAACUGGGGCUAAUACCGGAUAGGAGCUCCUGCUGCAUGGUGGGGGUUGGAAAGUUUCGGCGGUUGGGGAUGGACUCGCGGCUUAUCAGCUUGUUGGUGGGGUAGUGGCUUACCAAGGCUUUGACGGGUAGCCGGCCUGAGAGGGUGACCGGCCACAUUGGGACUGAGAUACGGCCCAGACUCCUACGGGAGGCAGCAGUGGGGAAUAUUGCACAAUGGGCGGAAGCCUGAUGCAGCAACGCCGCGUGCGGGAUGACGGCCUUCGGGUUGUAAACCGCUUUCGCCUGUGACGAAGCGUGAGUGACGGUAAUGGGUAAAGAAGCACCGGCUAACUACGUGCCAGCAGCCGCGGUGAUACGUAGGGUGCGAGCGUUGUCCGGAUUUAUUGGGCGUAAAGGGCUCGUAGGUGGUUGAUCGCGUCGGAAGUGUAAUCUUGGGGCUUAACCCUGAGCGUGCUUUCGAUACGGGUUGACUUGAGGAAGGUAGGGGAGAAUGGAAUUCCUGGUGGAGCGGUGGAAUGCGCAGAUAUCAGGAGGAACACCAGUGGCGAAGGCGGUUCUCUGGGCCUUUCCUGACGCUGAGGAGCGAAAGCGUGGGGAGCAAACAGGCUUAGAUACCCUGGUAGUCCACGCUGUAAACGGUGGGUACUAGGUGUGGGGUCCAUUCCACGGGUUCCGUGCCGUAGCUAACGCUUUAAGUACCCCGCCUGGGGAGUACGGCCGCAAGGCUAAAACUCGAAGGAAUUGACGGGGCCCCGCACAAGCGGCGGAGCAUGCGGAUUAAUUCGAUGCAACGCGUAGAACCUUACCUGGGUUUGACAUGGAUCGGGAGCGCUCAGAGAUGGGUGUGCCUCUUUUGGGGUCGGUUCACAGGUGGUGCAUGGCUGUCGUCAGCUCGUGUCGUGAGAUGUUGGGUUAAGUCCCGCAACGAGCGCAACCCUUGUUCACUGUUGCCAGCACGUUAUGGUGGGGACUCAGUGGAGACCGCCGGGGUCAACUCGGAGGAAGGUGGGGAUGACGUCAAGUCAUCAUGCCCCUUAUGUCCAGGGCUUCACGCAUGCUACAAUGGCUGGUACAGAGAGUGGCGAGCCUGUGAGGGUGAGCGAAUCUCGGAAAGCCGGUCUCAGUUCGGAUUGGGGUCUGCAACUCGAUCUCAUGAAGUCGGAGUCGCUAGUAAUCGCAGAUCAGCAACGCUGCGGUGAAUACGUUCCCGGG
rnacentral:rRNA from 1 species